rnacentral:rRNA from 1 species
GACGAACGCUGGCGGCGUGCUUAACACAUGCAAGUCGAACGGAAAGGCCCUGCUUUUGUGGGGUGCUCGAGUGGCGAACGGGUGAGUAACACGUGAGUAACCUGCCCUUGACUUUGGGAUAACUUCAGGAAACUGGGGCUAAUACCGGAUAGGAGCUCCUGCUGCAUGGUGGGGGUUGGAAAGUUUCGGCGGUUGGGGAUGGACUCGCGGCUUAUCAGCUUGUUGGUGGGGUAGUGGCUUACCAAGGCUUUGACGGGUAGCCGGCCUGAGAGGGUGACCGGCCACAUUGGGACUGGGAUACGGCCCAGACUCCUACGGGGGGAAGCGGUGGGGAAUAUUGCACAAUGGGCGGAGGCCUGAUGCAGCAACGCGGCGUGCGGAAUGACGGCCUUCGGGUUGUAAACCGCUUUCGCCUGUGACGAAGCGUGGGUGACGGUAAUGGGAAAGAAGCACCGGCUAACUACGUG